CUGAUGUGAAAAUGCGGGGCUCAACUCCGUAUUUGCGUUGGAAACUGUUAGACUAGAGUUUUGGAGAGGUAGGCGGAACUACAAGUGUAGAGGUGAAAAUUCGUAGAGAUUUGUAGGAAUGCCGAUGACGAAGGUAGCUUACUGGACAAAUACUGACGCUGAAGCGCGAAAGCUAGGGGAGCAAACAGGAUUAGAUACCCUGGUAG
rnacentral:rRNA from 1 species